rnacentral:rRNA from 1 species
GAUGAACGCUGGCGGCGUGCCUAAUACAUGCAAGUCGAGCGAACAGACGAGGAGCUUGCUCCUCUGACGUUAGCGGCGGACGGGUGAGUAACAUGUGGAUAACCUACCUAUAAGACUGGGAUAACUUCGGGAAACCGGAGCUAAUACCGGAUAAUAUAUUGAACCGCAUGGUUCAAUAGUGAAAGACGGUUUUGCUGUCACUUAUAGAUGGAUCCGCGCCGCAUUAGCUAGUUGGUAAGGUAACGGCUUACCAAGGCAACGAUGCGUAGCCGACCUGAGAGGGUGAUCGCCCACACGGGAACUGAGACACGGUCCAGACUCCUACGGGAGGCAGCAGUAGGGAAUCUUCCGCAAUGGGCGAAAGCCUGACGGAGCAACGCCGCGUGAGUGAUGAAGGUCUUCGGAUCGUAAAACUCUGUUAUUAGGGAAGAACAAAUGUGUAAGUAACUAUGCACGUCUUGACGGUACCUAAUCAGAAAGCCACGGCUAACUACGUG